GAUGAACGCUGGCGGCGUGCCUAAUACAUGCAAGUCGAGCGGUAAGGCCCUUCGGGGUACACGAGCGGCGGACGGGUGAGUAACGCGUAAGAAUCUACCCCAAACUGAGGGAUAAGCACCAGAAAUGGUGGCUAAUACCGCAUAUGCUCUACGGAGUAAAGCUACGGCGGUGUGGGAAGAGCUUGCGUAGGAUUAGCUAGUUGGUAAGGUAAUGGCUUACCAAGGCGACGAUACUUAGCUGGUCUGAGAGGAUGAUCAGCCACACUGGGACUGAGACACGGCCCAGACUCCUACGGGGGGCAGCAGUAGGUAAUUUUCCACAAUGGGGGCAACCCUGAUGGAGCAACGCCGCGUGCAGGAUGAAUGCCUUCGGGUUGUAAACUGCUUUUGUCUGUGACGAUUAUGACGGUAGCAGACGAAUAAGGAUCGGCUAACUACGUGCCAGCAGCCGCCGUAAUAC
rnacentral:rRNA from 1 species